UAAAUAUGUGUAUAUAUAAAUAUGUGUAUAUAUAAAUAUGUGUUUAUUGUUUUUAUAAUUUAUAGAAUAAAGCUAAUUUCCCUAUACUAGAACCCGAUAACUAUUCACAUGAAGAAUUACAUUAUGUAAAAAAAAAUAUAUAUAUAUAUAUAUAUAUAUUUUAAAUGAAGAUAUUAUUAAAUGCGUGUUUUGGUAUUUAAAUAAUUAUUAUAGCAUGUGUCAUAUAUUUUAUUAUUUUUUUUAUAAACACAUUUAGGAUAUGCCGGCUUGGAUUGAAGAUAUGAUUAUAUUGUCAAACAAAAGUAAAGGCACUUUAGAGUCGUUAGGUUUAGAAAACCUACCAGAUUUCAACGAAUGCAAAAAGAUUAGCAAUUUUCAGGAACAAAUUCUAUGCAUAGUUGAAGCACUUGAAGACAUUAAGGACACUUACCAAAAUGCUAAAGACAUAACUUCACUAACAGCAAGAGUUUUGGCUGGAGGAAGACUAGCCGUACGGGCUUUAUCAAGACUGCAAACUUUGGCCUCAACCAUUGAUAACAAACAGCUAAUGAAAAAAAUAGGAACACCAAUGGCUACACUGAUAUUACUGCAAAGAGAAACUACAUCAGAUAGAACCAGGUGGUUAUGUGGAUCUAUUUUAACUCUGUUAACUGAUUUACCAGUAGUAUCAGACAUAGCGGAUGUAAAUACAGGGUCGUAUGGUCACGUAAACGUCAUCAUGCCCAGACAGUCUAGAAUUAGAAAUCCUGAUAGAACAAUUUUGAGGCUAAGAGAAGGUGUUUCACCUUCAGAUCUAAUAAAUGGAUAUACAUCAAGUUAAAAAAAAGAAAAAAAAAAAAAGACCUACUUUGAAAAAUAAGUAUACAUUCCUCUUUCACUUACAUAUUU
rnacentral:lncRNA from 1 species